ensembl:misc_RNA 7SK 7SK RNA
GGAUGUGAGGGCGAUCUGGCUGUUACAUCUGUCACCCCAUUGAUCGCCAGGGUUGAUUCGGCGGAUCUGGCUGGCUAGGCGGGUGUCCCCGUCCUCCCUCACCACUCCAUGUGCGUCCCUCCCGAAGCUGCACGCUGGGUCGAAGAGGACGGCCUUCACCGAAUAGAGACGGACCGGUCUUUGGUCGAGGGUAUAUGAGUAGCUGCGCUCCCCUGCUAGAACCUCCAAACAAACUCUCAGAAGAAAUGGGAAAAAAUUCAAAACACUACCACCACUGACUGAGUUCUGAGUGACUGUGAGGUGGU